rnacentral:tRNA from 1 species
GGCUUCAUGGUUGAGUGGUAAGGACACUUGCCCCUCACCCUGGAGUCUCGGGUUCGAUCCCCGCUCGAGGAGCUG